GGCUUAUUACCAGAGUGAGCGGAGUUGACCAGAGAAAGCAGAGGUCCUAAAAAUUCAAUCCCCAACAACCAAAAGAAGGCUCACAACCAUCUGUACAGCUGCAGUGUACUCACAUCCAUAAAAUAAAUAAAUCUUAAAAAAAAAAAGAAAAGAGAAAAAGGAAAUCCUUAAAGAAAAAAAAAAAAAAAGACAAGGUUUCUCUGUGUGGUCUUUGCUGUCCUGGUGUUGUCUCUGUAGACCAGACUGCCUUGAACUCAGAGACUUGUCUGCCUCAGUCUCCCAGGUUCCUUUGAAACAGGCUUUUCUGUAGACCUGGCUAUCUCAAACCCAUUACAUAGUUGAAAGUGACAUUAAACUUCUGAUCCUCCUGCCUCUACCUCCCAGGUACUGAAGUUACAGGUUUGUUUCACCAUAUCUUGCUUUUAUAGAUGUUUUAAUUGAAAUAAUUAUAGAUUGACUUUCAGUUUAAAAAAUUAUACCAAGAUCUGGGGGUAGUGGUUUAUGCAUGUAAUCUCAGUACUCAAGAGGCUGAGACAAAAGAAUUGCCUAAAUCUGAGAUCAGUUUGGCCUACAGAGAGAGUUCCAAAUCAGCCAGGGGUAAAGUAAAGCCCUGCCAUCACAAACAACAAAGCAAAACAAAGCAGGCUGGGUGUGUGGCGGUACACCUUUCUGUAAUCACAGCACUCGGGGAGUUUGUGAGUUGGAGGCCAGCCUCAUGUACAUAGUUGUAGCUAGUCAUAGCUACAUAGUGAGACUCUGUCUCAAAGAAACAAAGGCUGGGGAAUGGUUCAUUGAGUUGAUGUGUCUGCCGCAUGAACAUGAGGGCAUGAGUUCACAUGCUUCACAGAUGUGUAACCCCAGCACUAGGGGUAGGGGGAAACAGGUGGGUCUCCAGAGGUGCUAAGUAGCUACUGACCAAUUGUUGAUUCUUUGGUUCAAUGAGAGAUCCUGUGGCAAAAAAUCAGGUGAAGAGUGAUACCCAUCAAUAUCUAGGAUCUGUGUGCAUAAUCACACAUGUACCCACAUGGAUAUAUAUACACAAAUACAGACACACAAAAAAAGAGGCCCCCUGAAUGGUAUUACUUUCCAAAAUUGUAAUAAAAUGUAUCUAUAAUGAUAUUAAUGUAGUCUAUUAAUCUUACAAAGGUUCCUGUCAUUUUCUGUCUGUGUGAGUGGGUGUAUGUGUGUGUGUUGGGAGUGGGGUAUGCAGCAUGGAUAUGGAGGUCAGAGGACAACCUAUAGAAGUUGAUUUUCUCCUAUCAUGUGUGUCCUGAUGAUGGAACUCGAGGUUGUCAGACUUGGUGGCAGAGACUUGACUCGCUGAGCAAUCUCGCUAGCCCCAAAGUAUCUGUAGUUUUUCUGACUAUGGACAUGUGGGUAAAUGUAUGCGCACAGUUUUAUUUCCUGUUUUACAUUUGUAUAUCCACCCUACAAUGAAACUGCUGAGCAGAGAAGGAACGGUGUAGCUUGGUGGUAGAGGCACUUGCCUAGCAUACACAGGCUCUGGGGUUUAGUCUCUAGUGCCCACAGGAAGGGAAGGGAAGAACGAAAGGAUGCUCUAUAGUUCUAGCACCACAGGAUUCCUUGUGAAUUUUUUUUAAAUCACACCUAUUGCUCCACCUCUUUUUCCUUCCCUCAAGUUGUAUGUUUAAUAUGGAGUCACUUUUCUCCAUUAUAUGAUUUCCAGGCACUGAACUCAACUCAUCCUUUUUUUGUUGUUGUUGUUUUUUCUGAGACAGGGUUUCUCUGUGUAGCCCUGGCUGUCCUGGAACUCACUCUGUAGACCAGGCUGGCCUCAAACUCAGAAAUCUGCCUGCCUCUGCCUCCUGAGUGCUGGGAUUAAAGGCGUGCACCACCACUGCCUGGCUUUUUUUUCUUUUUCUUUUCUUUUUUUUUUUUUUUCAAACUCAGCUCAUCAAACUGAAAUAGACUCUUUAUCUACUGAACCAUCUCAUCUACCUAGAUCUUAGUUCUUGGUACCAUUAAUCUUCCCUUUUAAAAAUAUUUUAGGAUUGUUAUUUCUCAUGAAGCAUAAUUCUGGAUAUCCAUCUGAAUAUCUGUAUGUACCAGUGAUUUUUUUCUUUUAUUUAGUCCAUGGUGUAGGUAGGCCACCAGUACUUUAAUUUAUUCUGUUCUAGCCUAGUUCACUUUUGAGGCACAGCCUCAUUUAUCCCAUGGUGACCUUAAAUUUCCUAUAUAGGCAGGGAAGACAUCUUAAUACUGGUGUUACUGGUAUACAUACCCACAUCAAAUUUGUACCACAGUUAAUUUUUCCAUUCAUCUGUUGAUGGCUAUCUGGGCUAAUUCUACAUUUCUUUUUUUCUUUUUCUUUCUUUUUUUGGGGGUGGGGAGGUUGAGGCAGGGUUUCUCUGUAUAGCCCUGGCUGUCCUGGAACUCACUCUGUAGACCAGGCUGGCCUCGAACUCAGAAAUCCACCUUCCUCUGCCUCUGGGAUUAAAGGUGUGCACCACCACGCCUGGCUUACUUCUACAUUUCAUACUACAAAUAAACUUGAACAUUUGUGUCU
rnacentral:lncRNA from 1 species